rnacentral:tRNA from 1 species
GAGGUUGUAGCUCAGUGCUAGAGCACUUGCCUAGUAUGUGAGUACUUGGGUUCAAUUCCCAGUGCCUCU